rnacentral:rRNA from 1 species
GUAGGUGGCAAGCGUUGUCCGGAAUUAUUGGGCGUAAAGCGCGCGCAGGCGGUCCUUUAAGUCUGAUGUGAAAGCCCACGGGCUCAACCGUGGAGGGUCAUUGGAAACUGGGGGACUUGAGUACAGAAUAGGAAAGCGGAAUUCCAAGUGUAGCGGUGAAAUGCGUAGAGAUUUGGAGGAACACCAGUGGCGAAGGCGGCUUUCUGGUCUGUAACUGACGCUGAGGCGCGAAAGCGUGGGGAGCAAACAGGAUUAGAUACCCUGGUAGUCCACGCCGUAAACGAUGAGUGCUAAGUGUUAGGGGGUUUCCGCCCCUUAGUGCUGCAGCUAACGCAUUAAGCACUCCGCCUGGGGAGUACGGCCGCAAAGGCUGA